GGAGAUGGCUCAGUGGGUAAGAGCACUUGGUUUGCAAACAUGAGGACUUGGGUUUGAAUCCUCAGCCUCCA
rnacentral:tRNA from 1 species